UUUGUGAUGACCCAAAGAUUGAUUCAUAGAUUGAUUUUGAUGAUCACAACACCUUGAAGUAUAGAUACUAAUGUUUAUGUUGCAAGGAGAAAGAUAUUUAUUUUGCAAGGAACAUAGCAAGUUGGAAGAACACAAGAAGGCCUCCAAAAGCACUCAAGAAAAGUUAGAAGAAAGCUACAAUUUAUUGGCCCAAGCUUAAAGUUCAAAGGAUUCAAAUUGGAGGAGUAAAAUCAAAAGAAAAAUUCAAAAGAACAGUCUUCGAGUCGACUCCAGUGGAAUUCGAGUCGACUCCAGAGAAGUAUGAGUCGACUCCGGAGAAGUAUGAGUCGACUNN
rnacentral:lncRNA from 1 species